GGCGGAGCCGCUGAGCUGAGAGCGCUGGGCUCGUAACCCGGAGGCCGCGGCCGCGGGUUCGCGUCCCGCCUCGGCCA
rnacentral:tRNA from 1 species